UCGGUAAUAUUGUUUUGACAAAUUUCCUUAUAAUUCAUCUUCUAUGGUUAGUUUGAUAAAUUAUCUCUUCUUCUUUUUUUUUGUUAAAGAUGACUUCGUUUAUUUAUUUUUUUGAACCAUCUAAAUUGAUGUAAAAUUGCGUAGCAUCGAUCCAUAUAUAUCACAAUAAGGUACAAAAUUUGCCACGAAGUGGCGAAAUUUCAUCCAAAUUCCAGCUUAAGUAAUUUUAUUUCGGGAAUUGAAGAAAGAUUUCGACAUUGCCCAAAAUUUCGCCGAAUUCAGGCGAGAUUUCGUUUCUCCCCAAUUCUCCCGCGAUAAAAGCCGCCCCAUGAAGGUAUAGAGAGAGAGAUUUGGAAAAACUGAGAAAAAUAAAAAAAAAUUCUAAUAAAAUUUGAGAGAGAGAUGGCAGUAAACUGAUUAAAGCUAGAAAAAUUCUGAUAAAACUUUCCACUGUAUACAAAAAUAUGAAAAAAUCCCCAAAAACAUGAUAUCUUCAAGCCCAGACCUCAUCAACGCGCACUUUAAGCUCUGAUAAGUCCUCCAAAUCUUCAGCAUCUCUGUUUUCCGGCGACCCCAUCGCCGGUUUUCUACCCUUUGGCAGCUUCCCGGCGACCUGUCUGACCGGCAUCUGGGAAAAUUGCGGUUUUCCGGUGACUUUGUCUUCGUUUUCCGGCCUGAUAAGCUCUGAUAAGAGAAGGACGAGAGAGGCCAUCUCUAACUGCGCUUAACUUCGCUGAGAGCUCUUAUGAAACUUUGAAGAGAGAGAAAGACAGGAGAGAGAGAGGCUUUCUUUGUUACGGGGCGAGAAGAAUUGGUGGUAUAAAUAGGAGAGCGAGAGAGAGAAAGACAAGAGAGAUAAACGUUUAAUGGUGGGCUCAUAGAAUCAGUGGACGGUUUAGAGAGAGAAAGAGAGAGAGGACAUAUGGUGGGCUGAGAGAACCAGUUAGGAGUUCAGAGAUCGAGGUUUCACCUUUUAAUAAUGGGAUGAGAGAGAAACCGCGAAUGGUUUGUGGUUUUGAUAAACCAGGGAUUUUGGCGGUUUUAUGGGACUUCGGAUCUGGGACGAGAAAACCGGGGGAAAUUCCGGUUUCUGAAAAACG
rnacentral:lncRNA from 1 species